GCUUCCUUGGCUCAGUUGGUAGAGCGUCAGUCUCAUAAUCUGAAGGUCGCCAGUUCGAGCCUGGCAGGGAGCA